ACUCCCCUUCAGGAUGCCACUAAUCACAUCCUUGCAGGAAGAGACAAGAAUGCAAUGUUAGAAAUCAAAUAUAUUAAUCCAGUUAAAGGUCGUGGUAUCUUCACUUCAGCUGUUUUCAAUCAAGGAGACUUUGUGGUGGAGUAUAGAGGGGAGCUCAUUGAUGCAGCUGAAGCUGAACAUAGGCGUAAACUGUACCACAGUGCAUGUUCAAUCUUCAUGUUUGACUUCAAAUGGAAGCGGAAGACAUGGUGUAUUGAUGGAGCACUUGAAGAUGGAUCAUUUGGACGACUGGUAAACGAUGAGCACAAGUCACCAAAUUGCAGAAUGAAGUUGAUUGAAGCAGGAGGGAAGCCACAUAUGUGCCUUUUUGCACUGAAGGAAAUUG